rfam:Triticum aestivum genome assembly, contig: Triticum_aestivum_CS42_TGACv1_scaffold_374210_5AL
GACAUACUUCCUCCGUCCCAAAAUUCUCAUUUUAAAUUUAUCGAAAUACGGAUCUAUCAAGUUACAUUUUAAUAUUAAAUACAUCUGUAUCUAAACUAAUGUAAAACAAGAAUUUUGGAACGGAGGGAGUAUUAC